AUGCUGCAGGGAGACAGUGUUCCAUCAGGGGGCGCCAAACUCCGUGGUUUCAACUGUAUCCUUGAGCAGAUGCACAGAAGGCCAGAAAGCACUUCCUGUGUCCAAACACAGAUCCAGCUGGUGCAGUCAGGAGCAGAGGUGAAGCAACCUGGGCAGUCAGUGAAGAUCUCCUGCAAGGCUUCAGGGUACACCUUCACAGAACAAGGAAUGCAAUGGCUGAAGCAGGCACCAGGACAGGACAUAAAGUGGAUGGGCUGGAUCAAUGCCAACAAUGGGAAGACAACAUAUGCUGAUGACUUCACAGGACAGAUUCUUUUCUCUUUGGACACCUCUGUUAGCACUGCAUAUCUGCAGAUCAGCAGCCUCAAGAAUGAAGACACAGCCAUGUAUUACUGUACGAGAUACACAGUGUGA